CGUAAGUAGCAACCUGCAUAGCGAGCUGAGCAGCGACGCCGCGUGAGGAGGUAAGGUCUUCGGAUCGUAAACUCCUGACAAGCGGGACGAAUGCUGCAGGGAUGAAUAAGCCUUGUAGUUGACGGUACCGCUGGAGGAAGCCCCGGCUAACUCCGUGCCAGCAGCCGCGGUAAUACGGAGUUUUCCAGCGUUGUUCGGAAUUAUUGGGCGUAAAGGGCGCGUAGGCGGCUCGGCAAGUCAGUUGUGAAAGCCCUCGGCUCAACCGAGGAACUGCGUCUGAAACUGCCGGGCUUGAGUCCCGGAGAGGGUAGCGGAAUUCCCAGUGUAGCGGUGAAAUGCGUAGAUAUUGGGAGGAACACCGGUGGCGAAGGCGGCUACCUGGACGGGUACUGACGCUGAGGCGCGAAAGCUAGGGGAGCAAACAGGAUUAGAUACCCUGGUAGUCCUAGCUGUAAACGAUGGGCACUUGGUGUUGCGGGUAUCGACCCCUGCAGUGCCGAAGCUAACGCAUUAAGUGCCCCGCCUGGGAGUACGGUCGCAAGGCUGAAACUCAAAGGAAUUGACGGGGGCCCGCACAAGCGGUGGAGCAUGUGGUUUAAUUCGACGCAACGCGAAGAACCUUACCUGGGUUUGAACUGCGGUGGACGGCUCCAGAGAUGGAGCUUCCCUUCGGGGCUGCCGCAGAGGUGCUGCAUGGCUGUCGUCAGCUCGUGUCGUGAGAUGUGGUUAAGUCCCGCAACGAGCGCAACCCUACCCUUAGUUGCAGCGUUCGGCGGGAACUCUAAGGGACUGCGGUGAUAAACCGGAGAAGUGGGACGACGUCAAGUCAUCAUGCUUAUGUCAGGCUACCAACGUGCUACAAUGGGCGUACAAAGGUUGCGAUGCCGGAGGUGGAGCAAUCCAAAAGCCGCCUCAGUCGAAUGCAGUCUGCACUCGACUGCAUGAAGUGAAUCCUAGUAAUCGAGAAUAAAGCAUGCGCGGUGGAAUCGUUCUAGACUGUAUACAUCGGAAGUACAUACAGAAGUAGUGUCCUGAAGUGCGUGGCUAACCCGAGAGUACGUCGCGAAGAUGCUGCCAUUGUGUAAGUGCUAACCAGUGACCUG
rnacentral:rRNA from 1 species